UUAACUUAAAUUUGUAUGGAGUCGGAACUUUUGCCUACGUUUGCCGCUAGGGGCGCUGUUCCGACUGUAUACAAAUUUGAAUUA
rfam:Bombyx mori DNA, contig: Bm_scaf17_contig12765, strain: p50T/Dazao, build 2, whole genome shotgun sequence.